rnacentral:lncRNA from 1 species
GGGGAUGCUUUCGGUUCGCUUUGGGAUAAACAGCAGAAUCUCGGCACGCUGAAGGGAAGGACCAUCAGUCAGGAAAUUCGAUCGGUUUAGUGAAGGAGAGGAGGCCGGCCUGGAGGAAGGAGCGGGGGCCCUGAGGGACCUGGCCGCCCAGGAGCCUCUGGCGACAGUCGGUGGGCCGGGUCGCCCCGUUAUCAGACGCUAAAGCAGAAGGGAGGGAGGUACUUCUGCUUCUUCCCUCACACAUCCGUCAGUUCCAGGCGAGUGAGUCUCAGAGGGCAGCCCAAGGCUCCACGUCCCGAGAACUCGGGAAAGACGAUGCUCGGGUGCUCCCCUCCCGCACCCCCAAAAAAGCCCUGCAGCGACCGGAGGGAGGCGGAAGUGAGCAGAGGAACCUCUGCAAAUAAGGAAGUUAGUCCUUUCCAUGGCUUCCCUCACCUACGUCUGUUUUGACAUCCGAUCUCUUGGGAUUUGGAAAAACAGCCAAAAUCAGCGAUCACAGUUUUAUUAGGAAAAAAAACAAAACAAAACAAAACAAAACAAUUGAAACUAUGAGAGCUAGCACUCCGAAAGCAUUCUUAAGAGAGUAGUAAAUUCCUGUUCCUGCUUUAAGCCCGAGCCGUGGGCGUAGGCCUGAGUUUUGGAGUGCGCAAGCGCAGUUUGAGAACUGUGUUUCCUGUAAAGAUGAUUAACAUUGAAAGCGUUUAAAUUAUCUAAGUUUAGGUUAAUUCAUCUUAGCUGUGAUAGAACUUGCAAAUCUUUGACAGUAAAUUUGAGUUUUUGAAUGCUUUAAAGUACAAAAAGAAACACCGCCCAACGUGGGGCUCGAACCCACGACCCUGGGAU